UCAUUUUGCAAUAGCCCCUAACUCCUUCAGCCGCUCUCUCUCCUUCCAUCACAGGUCUCGCCUACUGCCCCAACCUUAAGAGGCUACUCUCGCCUUUCAUUCACUCUCUCGCUCUGCAAAACACUCUCUCUCUCCUCCGAAGGUCGGCUAGCGAGAGAGUUUUUCGAGUCUUCGAUUCUUCUUCAUCUGCGAAAGAGGCCACACCAAAGGCUAUCUUGCAGAUAAUGAAUAUGAGGGGACUGACACUUUACCACUUGAAAAGUCACUUGCAGGCUACAAAAAGAAAGCCACCUCUGUUUUGAGACAUUCUGCAAAGGGGUUCAUAACAAAUACCCCUAUCCUUCACAACUGCCACCAUAUGCACACUCACAGGACAAGAAGUUGUUUGAGUUUGGCUGCUGAACAAGAGAAAAAUAUAAUAGAGAAGUGGUUACCUGAACUAAAGAGUGCAGUCCUGAAUUCUCAGAAAUGACUGGAAGAUUGCAAAUAUGUCAGGGGCUUGGAUUGAUUAUCACCAGUUCAUUAGAAGCAGAAGAAUCAGAAUUUCUAUGAUUCCAGUCUACAACAAAGCUGCUUCCUUGGAUUUUGUAUUGUGGAUUUUGCAGCUACUUCCUUGGAUUUUGUACAGUGAGGUGGUUUUUUAACAAGUGCAGACUGAAACUCAAGUGUUAGAAGGUUUAUCAAUUUUUUAACAGAAGUGUUAAGAAAUUGAUGAUUUUCUUGACAAAUGGAUUUAUUUCCUGUUUUGGAACAUUGUAAAUGUUGAAUUGUUUUGGCACAUUAAUAAAUGAUGAAUUGUAAAAAUGUUUUAAUUCUUUUGAUAUAUUUAAUAGAAUAUGUAUGUUUUUUGAAUUGAA